rnacentral:lncRNA from 1 species
GAAAAACACAGAAAAACGGCAGCUUCUUGGCACAGAAACAAAAAGGGGGCUGCAAUAUAUUAUAUAUUUAUACAUUGGGCGGUGACGUCAAGGAUUGUUCGGCACGGAAGAAGAUAUAUACACAUACGCCUACAGAUUCAUAAGGGUUGUUGCCGGUUGAUUUCAUUACAAAAUUAUACACAAUUUGGCAGCAAACGUUAUAUACAUACACGCACACAUUGGAGACAGUUUGCUGGAGAAAAGAGGCAGUAAUUGAGGUGAUAAAGGGCGGUUGAAUUUGAUAAAAAAGGGCUGGAAUUUGCGCAAGUUAAAGCAUUAAAGUUGCUGUGAGGAUUAUAAAAUCAAGCAUCAGCAACCACUUUGGGGAUUGAUUAUUGCUCACGUAUAUAGGCGGCUGGAAUUGAUUUUAUAUACAUAGAUAAUAGCCUCCUGGAGUUUAUAUAUAUACACAUACACGCACAGCAAAUGCCAGAUUUGGAGAUUGAAUUGGAGGCUGUUUUUGGAGGGUUGCUUUUGGCUGAAAUAUAACACAUUGGCAGCAACUUUUUGGGGAGAAAAAGACACAAAAAGGAGGCCGCCCAUUGGAAUAAAAAGAGAAAGACCAAGAUUUACUUUGGAAAUUAUUCACGUUCCGUCAAUUAUAUGGUGAUGUCGUUCAAAC